rnacentral:rRNA from 1 species
UGGGGAAUAUUGCGCAAUGGACGAAAGUCUGACGCAGCGACGCCGCGUGUGGGAUGAAGCUCUUCGGGGUGUAAACCACUGUUGCCCGGGACGAAAUGCCCUUUCGAGGGAAUUGACGGUACCGGGUGAGGAAGCACCGGCUCACUCUGUGCCAGCAGCCGCGGUAAUACAGAGGGUGCGAGCGUUGUCCGGAAUCACUGGGCGUAAAGGGCGCGUAGGUGGCUUGGUAAGCGUGUGGUGAAAGUCCGGGGCUCAACCCCGGAUCUGCCGUGCGAACUGCUGAGCUUGAGCGAUGUAGAGGCAGGUGGAAUUUCGGGUGUAGCGGUGGAAUGCGUAGAUAUCCGAAAGAACACCAGUGGCGAAGGCGGCCUGCUGGGCCGUUGCUGACGCUGAGGCGCGACAGCGUGGGGAGCAAA